CCUACGGGUGGCUGCAGUGGGGAAUAUUGGACAAUGGGCGAAAGCCUGAUCCAGCCAUGCCGCGUGUGUGAAGAAGGCCUUCGGGUUGUAAAGCACUUUCAGUGGGGAAGAAAGCCUUGGGGCUAAUACCCUCGAGGAAGGACAUCACCCACAGAAGAAGCACCGGCUAACUCCGUGCCAGCAGCCGCGGUAAUACGGAGGGUGCGAGCGUUAAUCGGAAUUACUGGGCGUAAAGCGCGCGUAGGCGGUCUGAUAAGCCGGUUGUGAAAGCCCCGGGCUCAACCUGGGAACGGCAUCCGGAACGGUCAGGCUAGAGUGCAGGAGAGGAAGGUAGAAUUCCCGGUGUAGCGGUGAAAUGCGUAGAGAGCGGGAGGAAUACCAGUGGCGAAGGCGGCCUUCUGGACUGACACUGACGCUGAGGUGCGAAAGCGUGGGUAGCAAACAGGAUUAGAUACCCGGGUAGUC
rnacentral:rRNA from 1 species